UACGGAGGGAGCUAGCGUUGUUCGGAAUUACUGGGCGUAAAGCGUGCGCAGGCGGUUUUGUAAGCCAGAUGUGAAAUCCCCGGGCUUAACCUGGGAAUGGCAUUUGGGACUGCAAGGCUGGAGUGCGGCAGAGGAGACUGGAAUUCCUGGUGUAGCAGUGAAAUGCGUAGAUAUCAGGAGGAACACCGAUGGCGAAGGCAGGUCUCUGGGCUGACACUGACGCUCAUGCACGAAAGCGUGGGGAGCAAACAGG
rnacentral:rRNA from 1 species